rnacentral:sRNA from 1 species
UAGUUGAAUGAACAUGGGCAUUGCAUA